rnacentral:rRNA from 1 species
GACGCACGCUGGCGGCGUGCUUAACACAUGCAAGUCGAACGAUGAAGCCGGAGCUUGCUCUGGUGAAUUAGUGGCGAACGGGUGAGUAACACGUGAGUAACCUGCCCUUGACUCUGGGAUAACUGCUAGAAAUGGUAGCUAAUACCGGAUACGACCCUCGGAGGCAUCUCCAGGGGGUGGAAAGAAUUUCGGUCAAGGAUGGACUCGCGGCCUAGCAGCUAGUUGGUGAGGUGAUGGCUCACCAAGGCGACGACGGGUAGCCGGCCUGAGAGGGUGACCGGCCACACUGGGACUGAGACACGGCCCAGACUCCUACGGGAGGCAGCAGUGGGGAAUAUUGCACAAUGGGCGCAAGCCUGAUGCAGCAACGCCGCGUGAGGGAUGACGGCCUUCGGGUUGUAAACCUCUUUUAGUAGGGAAGAAGCGAAAGUGACGGUACCUGCAGAAAAAGCACCGGCUAACUACGUGCCAGCAGCCGCAGUAA